AUUGAACGCUGGCGGCAGGCCUAACACAUGCAAGUCGAGCGGAUGAAGGGAGCUUGCUCCUGGAUUCAGCUGCGGACGGGUGAGUAAUGCCUAGGAAUCUGCCUUGUAUUUGGGGAUAACGUCCGUAAACGGGCGCUAAUACCGCAUACGUCCUGAUGUAGAAAGUGGGGGAUCUUCGGACCUCACGCUAUCAGCUGAGCCUAGUUCGGAUUAGCUAGUUGGUUGGGUAAAGGCCUACGAAGGCGACGAUCCGUAACUGGUCUGAGAGGAUGAUCAGUCAAACUGGACCUGGAACACGGUCAGAACUCCUACGGGAGGAAGAAGUGGGGAAUAUUGGACAAUGGGCGAAAGCCUAAUCCAGCACUGCCGCGUGUGUGAAGAAGGUCUUCGGAUUGUAAAGCCAUUUAAGUUGGGAGGAAGGGCGGUAAGUUAAUAACUUGCUGUUUUGACGUUACCAACAGAAUAAGCACCGGCUAACUUCGU
rnacentral:rRNA from 1 species